UACAGAGGUCUCAAGCGUUGUUCGGAUUCAUUGGGCGUAAAGGGUGCGUAGGCGGCGCGGUAAGUCGGGUGUGAAAUCUCGGGGCUUAACUCCGAAACUGCAUUCGAAACUGCCGUGCUUGAGGACUGGAGAGGAGACUGGAAUUUACGGUGUAGCGGUGAAAUGCGUAGAUAUCGUAAGGAAGACCAGUGGCGAAGGCGGGUCUCUGGACAGUUCCUGACGCUGAGGCACGAAGGCCAGGGGAGCAAACGGG
rnacentral:rRNA from 1 species